UAAAUAAUGGAACUUAUAUCAUUAAGAUUUGGAUUUUUCUUUUUUAAAGUAUUAAGUAAACUCCAAAUGAAAUUAUCUUGGUAUUUAAGAUUUUUAUACGUAUUUAAAAGUUGAGGGAAAGGAGGGAUUUGUUGAGAAAUUGGGUGAAAUUUUAGAGAGAGAAGGGUGAAACUUGGAAUUAAUCAAAGAAGAGAAAAGAGGGAAAUUAUUUUAUAAAUAGGAAAAGAAAAGGAAAAGAAAAGGAAAAGAAAAGGAAAAGAAAAGAGAAGAGGGAGAGAAGAAAACCCUAGCCGCGCCGCCGCCGCCGCCGCGAGCCGCCGCCGCCGCCGUCGCGAAACCCUAGCCGCCUACCCACGCCACACGCACAGCCGCGCCAGAAUUCGUCCAAGCUUCCUCGCACGCCGAAGCCGAGUCGAAGCCGUCCAUUCACGCGUCUGCAAGACGACUGGAAGCCGAAGCCACCCCUCGCGCCGCUUCGAUCCGAGGCAGAUCAGCCGAAACUCGUCGCGCCCCGAAGCCGAGAUCCAUCUCCACGUCGAAGCCGCGUCGCCAGCCGAACGCGUCUGCAAAUCGGAGCCGCGAACGCGCCUACACCCGAGCCGCACCGAAGCCGCGAACGCGCCUGCCUCCAGCCGACGGACGAAACCGAACCCGGAACCACCACCCGCGCGUCCGAACCCGGAACCGCCCGCGCGCCCGAAACCGAAACCCGCGUCCGCGCCACACGUGCCCAGCUCUCCCCGCGUGCAGCCGCGCCGCGCCGUGCGUUCCGCGUAGCCGAGCCGCGCCCCCUCCCUGUAGCAAGCCGAGCCGCACGCGAAGUCCCUGUACCGAGCCGAGCCGCGCCUACGCCAAGCCGAGCCGGUCCUGUCUUCUUCCAGUCGAGCCGCCAAGCCUGUUUUGGCUCCUUCCACCUAAAUUUUUGAAGCAAAUUGGACCAAAUAGCUGCUGCAGCUUAGGACUUCCUCAGUAGGAACCCAUCUAGCAACAUCUCGAGGUAGAGGACGAGGUAAGGGCAAGGGCAAACUGGCGAGCGACUCGAAGUGAGACCGUGAAGGGCCAUAGGGGCUACCGCUUCCGCUUACCUUUAUUUCAGAUUUUCGCACUUGAGUUCGAGUACUUUCAUUAUUUACCAUCUUUAUGUAGAUAGGGCCCGCUUAGGGAUUUUAAACUUAACUCGUAUUUCUACAUGUUACUUUAACUAUCUUUCAUAAAUAAAUUUGCUAGAUUUCUUUGCAUUUA